GCCGGCGACCAUACCACGUUGAAAGCACCGGUUCUCUUCCGAUCACCGCAGUUAAGCAACGUUGGGCCCGGUCAGUACAUGCAUGGGUGACUAGCUGGGAAUACCGCGUGUCGCCGGCU
rnacentral:rRNA from 1 species